rnacentral:tRNA from 1 species
GGACGCGCAAACGCGGUUGCGGAUUGUAGAGUCCUUAAGCUCACGGAUGCCCUCUUAAUCAGCGGGUCCUAGGUUCGAGCCCUAGUGCGUCCACCA